AAAAUCCUCAGAAAAAAAUAUUGAAGUUGACAGAAAUGUUGCGCAGUUACUUUGUAUAUAAGUAUAGAUGCGAUUUUAUAAUUACUGAUUUUUGCAGUUACUUUACAUCUGGAUACGUUGCAUUCAUUCUGAUGGCGACAUGGAUGGAGCUCAAGUUGAUCAAGAUACCUCAUCAACCCACAAAUUCAGUGAUACUUUCCUUUUCUCUGAUAAGGAAUGGGAAAGCUUUACUGAAGACUACUCCGCCAGGCCUCAUGCUUGACAGCAUCCAAGGGAUCAGGGUUUUAUCAACGCUUGCCGUUUCUUUUAUCAUCAGGCAGUUUUUUAUAACUAUGCAGCUAAUAUCAAUCACUCAGAAGUCUUCCAUAAGCUAA
rnacentral:lncRNA from 1 species